rnacentral:rRNA from 1 species
GACGAACGCUGGCGGCGUGCCUAAUACAUGCAAGUCGAGCGCAGGAAACUGACGGAACUCUUCGGAGGGAAGGCAGCGGAAUGAGCGGCGGACGGGUGAGUAACACGUAAGGAACCUGCCUCAAGGAUUGGGAUAACUCCGGGAAGUCGGAGCUAAUACCGGAUAGUUCAACGGACCGCAUGGUCCGCUGAUGAAAGGCGCUUCGGCUUCCUCUUGAGCUGGCCUUGCGGUGCAUUAGCUAGGUGGGGGGGUAACGGCCCCACAAGGCGACGAUGCAUAGCCGACCUGGAAGGGUGAUCGGCCACACUGGGACUGAGACACGGCCCAGGCUCCUACGGGAGGCAGCAGUUGGGAAUCUUCCACAAUGGACGAAAGUCUGAUGGAGCAACGCCGCGUGAGUGAUGAAGGUUUUCGGAUCGUAAAACUCUGUUGUAAGGGAAGAACACGUACGAGAGGGAAUGCUCGUACCCUGACGGUACCUUACGAGAAAGCCACGGCUAACUACGUGCCAGCCGCCGCCGUAAUAC